AAAAAUUGAAAUUUUAAAAUUACAAACCGAAUCCGAUCCGAAAAACCGAAACCGAAAUUAAAUUUCGAUUUGAUUUUUUAAUUUUUUCGGUUUAAACCAAAAUAUGUCCACCCCUAGGUGGAAUUGAACACAUGCACACUCUCUCUGUCUAUAUAUCUUUUUUUUUUUUUUUUUUUUUUUUUGUAAUAUAUGUGUUGUUAUUUCUUAGUAGGUUUGUUUCCUAAUAAGAACAUUAUCUAUCUAUCUAUAAAAUAAAUUUAUUUUAAAUUUUUUAUUUCUCUAUUAGUUGCAUAUUUUUAUAAUUACAAAGUUUCAUAAUAUAUCUAAGCUCUUAAAUUUCAAAUGUCUUUUGUCUUCCUUGUAAAGUCCAAUAUCUAUAUGCUACAUUGAUUGAAAUAGAGAAAUAUUCAUGUUUUCACAAAAAUGAUUUGAAGAAUAACCUUUUUACAGAUUCAAUUUUUUUUUUUUUUUUUGUGUCUCUAUUUUCCCAGAUUCUUUCCUCGGUGGAUGACACAUGUCAUGCCUUAAAAUCAAUACUCUUUGAUUUAAUUAACUAAAUGAAGGUACUUAGCUAUGGUUAGGGGAUGCAUUCAAAUCUAGAAAUGAAGAUGAGUCGAUCCCCUUUUUACGUAUUUGUUUUGUAAAACGAGUCUAAUAUGUAAAUAUAUAUAAAAAAUUACAGAUUAAUAUUUGGGCCAUCUAGGAAACAAGGUACGUAAAUAAUGUAGAGCUAAUAUAUAUAUGUGUGUAAACAAUGAAUGGUAAUUAUGGGCUGAAGUUUUCUAUAUUAUCUAAUUUUUUCUAUAUUAUUUUAUGCUAAAAUGCAUAUAUAUCAUGUAGUAUAUGUUUGACUGUGAUGAUAUGGUAUACAUCUUUUAAAAAGAAAAAAGAAAAAAAGUGCAUACGUUGAUUAUUUUUGAUAAACUAAAUGACCAAAUGAUAUAUAUUGAUAUUUGAUAAUUAACUCAAUAUAUAAUACAAUAUCUUUAUUAGUCAGAUCUGAUAAGGAGUUCUUUAUGAUAUCCUUGGAGAAGUUAUCAAAGCUGGUGCGACAGUCAUUGGAAUCCCUGAUACUGUUGGUUGCAAUUUGCCUAGUGAAUAUGCACCAUUAAUUGCUGACAUAAAAGCCAAUACUCCAGGAAUUGAAGAUGUGCUACUGCCAACACCAUUGCGGGAUAAGACUAGUAGAUGUAACUAUCAAUGGCAUUGGUGAAAGAGCUGGAAAUGCUUCUUUUGAAGAGGUAGAGCACAGUGGCUUAAGCUGCAGCCACAUAAGGCCAUUGUUGGAGCUAAUGCAUUUUCUCACCAAAGUGGCAUUUUCUCAUCAAAGACUUAUUCGGUUUGAAUUGAUAGAUUGUAUAUAAGAUAAUAUAUUGUCUAUCUAGUGAUUGGUUAGCCUCUUGUCAUAACUGUUGAAUCUUAUCAAACACACAAUUUGCAGGAUCAUUGAAUUCGUUUCACUAGUCAGAAAGUAUAAUCACAUACGUAAACAAACUACACCAUAUUGAUUCACAGUCUAAAAUCGUACCCGAUACAAAAGAUUAUUUCAAACGUUGAUGGAGAUUGCUUUAAUCUUUACAGGAAUCUUCUUGCGGGAAUUCUUCACCCAAAAAAAAGAGAGUUUUGCAAAGAGAGAGAAAGAGGAAAAACAAAAAAAGUAUUUUUUUUCUUGCUUUUGACCUGUUAUCUUAUCUGAAGAGACAUAACUCUUCAAUAGAGACAUAACUAUUGAGAAGAAGCACAACUCUUCAAUAGAGACAUAACUCUUUCGAAGAGACAUAAUUCUUCAGUAGAAACAUAACUCUUCAGAUAGUCUUUUCCAACAGAUAUGUAUUUUCUCCCUAUCAGUUAUUAAUAUAAAUAAUAAUAAUAAUAUAUUAUUUAUCUCUUAAUAUGGAUCUGGGUUGACCUACAUGGGUGAACCAAUGCACUUUCCUUCAUCUCCCACUCACACAUAGUGGGUCAUCAAUUCUUAUUCCUAUUCUGUAAUAUUCAUACUCACUGACUAGACCGUGUAACCAGUGCUACUUCGAGAGCUUUGUUGCUAUACAUUUGUUAGGAAUGUACAAUAUCUCGAUCAAUGAAACUUAGAGUAGAUUAUGAUAUGCAGUACCCUAGAUCAUCUAUCACAUCCAUAUUUCUCAUCAUCUCUUUUUUGUUAAUUUUGAGUUCAUCAUUAUGUACUUUUCUCACAGACAAACAUAAAGGACAUCAAUGAACACAAUUAAUGUGAUAAUAUUAAAUGAUCUUCCUCAUCUCAAGAAUCACUUAAUCUCAACGUGGUAUAUUUUUCUAGAAAUGUCCCGCUAGAACGAAUCAACCAUGAUCUUUUGACAACAUACUAAGAUAGCAAACACCAAUUUAAAUCUCAAAAAAUUGAUUAAAGUCAUGAGGGUACAAUGUAAAAGAUUACUUAUAAUUUUCAGGGCUUCACACGAUAGCAAGGAGAGACUAAACUUGUACCGCCCUUAUGGAUCACUUUCUAGCAUACAUUCUUGGUAUGAAACAUGUAUCAUAGUAUUGACUCCUUUCCCACGGAGCAUAUGUCUUUUAUAAAGUUAAUAUUGUGCAGAUGAUGGUUUAGAUUACUCAUGUCUAAUUUGAAUUUACAAUUCUUUUCUAUCAUUUUAUUUUUCAGAACUCACAUCUGACAUUAGAAAUAGAUUAACUCAUCUUUUAAUCACAUAUGAUUAAACACAAUCUAACAAAUGACAUUCUAAUUAUAAAUUUUUAGCUCUCUUUAAUCAUCACUUUUGACAAUAAUAAGUUUAUAACUACCUCAUAUCUACUAUUUGUCACUUAGACAUUAGAGGCGAUUGUCUGUGUGAAUAAGCCAAUCUUUAUGUCUGUUUGACACACUUUUCAUCCUAAAAAAUUUAUGUACACCACAUAAAGAAAAAAUGAUAUGUGUAUAUGAACUAACAAGUUGAAAAAUUAAGCAUUAAUCAAUAUUAACCUCAAUAAUGUGAAAUUACAUAAACAUGAUUGAAAAAAUAAAACUAAGUCAACAUCUACGCAAAUUCAAUGACUUUAUAUGUUUUUCAUAAACAUCUUAUGCUAUUUUUGUUAAAGGAUCUGCUAUCAUUUGAUGCGUAGAUAUGUAUUUCACGUUCAUUUUCUUUUGUAUAACCAUGUCUUUCAUAAAAUUAUACUUUAUGUCAAUAUGUUUCGUCUUUCCAUGAUAUUUUAGAUUCUUUGUGUAAGUUAUUGCAGCCUAAUUAUCACAAUUGAUUGUGACAUGUUCAACAACAUUAUUAUAUACACCCAAGUGGAUCAAAAAAGUUUAAGACAAAUAACUUCUUGUACAAAGCUACAAAUUUAGCUUCCAUCGUAGAUAAAGGUAUACAUGACUGCUUCUUUCUACUCCAUAAAAUGAAGCCAUUGUUAACCAAGAAUGCAUAUCCAAAGGUGGACUUUCUCUCAUUUAUAUAUCCUCCCUAGUCAACAUCCUUUGAGUUGCAGAUUAUUUCUCUGAUAACAUAAGAAAUAAUCAACUGUGCCUUUAAGAUACCUCAAUAUUCUUUUAACUAUUUUUUAAUAUUGUGGUCCUGGAUCGGAUUGAUAUCUACUAACUAACCGAAUGACAUAACAGAUAUCAGUUCUAGUACACAUCAUAGCAUACAUCAGAUUUUGACUGUAUUGGCAUAAGGAACCAUUCUCAUUUGUUCCUUUUCUUGUGGAGUCUGAGGGCAUAUCUUUUGGUUUAAAGUUUCAUUUUUAAAAACUGAAGUGUCUAUCGAUUUGCAGUCCUGCAUAUUAAAGCAUUCAAGAACUUUCUUAAUGUAAGGUUCUUGCAAAAGAGACAAUAAUUUGUUCGAAUGAUCUCUUGAAAUCUUAACUCCAAGAAUAUAUGACGCUUCACCCAUAUAUUUCAUCUCAAAAGUAGAUGAUAACCACUCUUUUAUUUCUUUUACAUAUUAGAUGUCAC